rnacentral:lncRNA from 1 species
UAUUAUGGGUUAGCUUUGCGUAAUACUUAUCUGAUAUAAAGUAACUUAGAUUUUAAGAUGAGGAUGUGAUGCGCUGCAUAUACUUGGAAUGUUAAUAGUAGGUGAUUUUUAUUGGUUAAUUACCAAACUGUAGAAGAGGUAACACUUUUGUUUUAAUGGAAAUAGUCUCUCAAAUAUUUAUAGUUUCAGAUACAUAUCUGAUAUAAAGUAACUUACAUUUCACUUUGAAUAAAUCCAUCAUUUUUACAGAAACCCUGCAAUCAUGAGAAUAUUCUUCCUGCAAUAAAGAAAAUUCUCCACUCAAUUUAUACACGUAUCAUGCAUGGCAGAACCGUAGAGAUGGAAUAAUCAUAAGCAAUAGAACAAAUAUAGCAGGUUUCAAGUCAUUCUUCCAUAUUCUAAAGAUGCGAAAAAGAAUAUUAUGUGGCCAAAGGAAAAACGUGCAACUUAUUGUAAACGCCACAAUCAUCAUAUUUUCUCUACAGAGUUCAUGUGAUGCCAAAUCUGAGCAUUUCUAUGGCUAACAUGUAUUCCUUUUCUUGCAAAAGAGAAUCAUGUUUCCUAGCGGAUGUUGUCUUUACAUUAUAAGCUGUUUUGUUGCUUGACUUUUUAUUCUUUGCACAUCCCUUUCUCUGUCAUUUUUGUCUUGAAAGGAGUAUAUGUCAGUAUAUGUCAUGUAUUGACUCCAUGAAAUGAUUUUAGAAAGGGAAGAAUUAUGCUGCUUUGAGGGUGAAGUCUUAAAAUUCAUUCUCUAUGAGAUGAUUUUAGACCUGGAAGAAUCAUGCUGCUUUUAGGUUGAAAGGGAUUUAGAUAAGUAGUAGUAUAGAAUAUAAGAAAGCUUUAAGUUGAAGCUUAAUUUAAUGAUGGGAAGGAAUAAAAUAGCAUAAGAAGUUCUCCAUAUCAGAAGUAUUUUAAAUAAGAAGGAACAAUGAGCAGGAGCAGCCAUCGUUGAACGCAUUUGUAAGUGAAAAUUCCGCCUACUGCCGUCUCCCUCUCCCUCUCCGCCCCCGCCGGUGUAUUUGCCCUAUUUUGAAAGGUUUGUGAUUAUUCAUAAACUUUUGGUGCAUUUUUCUUAUUUUUCUCAUAUUAUUUCAUAAUAGAUCCGUGUUUUGUUUAUCAGUCGUUCACAAUUGCUGCUCCGACCGCCGUCGAUCGUCUCCGGUUAGUGUUUGCCCCGCCCCCUGCUCUGCCGCCGGCGAUCAUUCUCUUUCAAAAUCAUUAGUGACAUUGUAAAUAUCUGUAUCAUUUCUUUCAAAAUCAUUAGUGUUGAACCAUUUAUUUUUUUUAAUAUUAUAUCUUUGUCAUCAAGCUUUACUUAAUUAUUUUUGUAAUAUUAUUGCCGAUUUUUAGGUGAAUUAAGAUUGUCAUAUUAUUUUACUCGCUUAUUUUUUUAAUAUUAUAUCUUUGUCA